GGGGGUUUAGCUCAUUUGGUAGAGCGUCUGAUUUGCAUUCAGAAGGUAAGGAGUUCGACUCUCCUAACCUCCA
rnacentral:tRNA from 1 species